rnacentral:misc_RNA from 1 species
ACUGCUGUGAAAAACAAUUACAAUUAACAAGAGUCACGGUGUGGCCCACUUGAUAGGCACUCCUAUUCUCCUGUAAGGGAGGUUCUGAAUUCAAUUCACCAAACAGGCAAACACUUAAAAAAAAUAAUAACCAAAAAUAUGAUCAAUAAAGAAGUUAUUAUUCCUCCUGUUGCAUUCAAUAAGUCUGUGCCAAUGAAAUUGAAAUAAUUUCUAAAAGCUGUGCAACCGCAAUCUUUUCCA